AUUGAACGCUGGCGGCAGGCUUAACACAUGCAAGUCGAGCGGGGGAAGGUAGCUUGCUACCGGACCUAGCGGCGGACGGGUGAGUAAUGCUUAGGAAUCUGCCUAUUAGUGGGGGACAACAUCUCGAAAGGGAUGCUAAUACCGCAUACGUCCUAUGGGAGAAAGCAGGGGAUCUUCGGACCUUGCACUAAUAGAUGAGCCUAAGUCGGAUUAGCUAGUUGGUGGGGUAAAGGCCUACCAAGGCGACGAUCUGUAGCGGGUCUGAGAGGAUGAUCCGCCACACUGGGACUGAGACACGGCCCAGACUCCUACGGGAGGCAGCAGUGGGGAAUAUUGGACAAUGGGGGGAACCCUGAUCCAGCCAUGCCGCGUGUGCGAAGAAGGCCUUAUGGUUGUAAAGCACUUUAAGCGAGGAGGAGGCUACUCUAGUUAAUACCUAGGGAUAGUGGACGUUACUCGCAGAAUAAGCACCGGCUAACUCUGUGCCAGCCGCCGCCGUAA
rnacentral:rRNA from 1 species